rnacentral:rRNA from 1 species
GUGCCAAGCAGCCGCGGUAAAACCAGCACCUCAAGUGGUCAGGAUGAUUAUUGGGCCUAAAGCAUCCGUAGCCGGCUCUGUAAGUUUUCGGUUAAAUCUGUACGCUCAACGUACAGGCUGCCGGGAAUACUGCAGAGCUAGGGAGUGGGAGAGGUAGACGGUACUCGGUAGGAAGUGGUAAAAUGCUUUGAUCUAUCGAUGACCACCUGUGGCGAAGGCGGUCUACCAGAACACGUCCGACGGUGAGGGAUGAAAGCUGGGGGAGCAAACCGGAUUAGAUACCCGGGUAGUCCCAGCUGUAAACUAUGCAAACUCAGUGAUGCAUUGGCUUGUGGCCAAUGCAGUGCUGCAGGGAAGCCGUUAAGUUUGCCGCCUGGGAAGUACGUACGCAAGUAUGAAACUUAAAGGAAUUGGCGGGGGAGCACCACAAGGGGUGAAGCCUGCGGUUCAAUUGGAGUCAACGCCAGAAAUCUUACCCGGAGAGACAGCAGAAUGAAGGUCAAGCUGAAGACUUUACCAGACAAGCUGAGAGGUGGUGCAUGGCCGUCGCCAGCUCGUGCCGUGAGAUGUCCUGUUAAGUCAGGUAACGAGCGAGAUCCCUGCCUCUAGUUGCCACCAUUACUCUCAGGAGUAGUGGGGCGAAUUAGCGGGACCGCCGCAGUUAAUGCGGAGGAAGGAAGGGGCCACGGCAGGUCUGUGAUGCCC